rnacentral:rRNA from 1 species
AUGGCUGAGCUCAUUUGGGUACAGUCUCUGUUGAGAGAGUUGGGAGUCUCUCAAGAGCAGCCACCGGUUCUUUGGUGUGAUAAUAUUGGUGCGACGUAUCUUUCAUUUAAUCCAGUUUUUCUUGCUUGUACCAAGCACAUCGAAGUUGACUAUCACUUUGUGAGGGAACGUGUUGCACAGAAGCUUCUUCAUAUCAAGUUCAUCUCCUCCAAAGGUCAACUUGCCCACAUCUUCACGAAGCCACUUCCACAACCUCAGCUUGAAGGUUGUAGGCGCAAUCUUAACUUGCUUUGUACUUCAGGCCAUAGUUAA